AUAAUUACCAAAGAAAUUUUGACAGCCAACGAAAGUAAUUGAAGAAAGUAGGCGAAAAACAAAACAAAACAUUUUCUGUGUUCGUUUGCUAGUAGAUUUGCAAAAGUUAUCCAGAUGUUUUAAUAUGUCAACCACAAAACCGCCCGAUCCAGCCUCACUUCCGUUUCGAAACAUUAGUUGCCUGGCACUUGAUAUACCUGUGAGAAUACCAGGCUUGAAUUAUUCACUGCCAAGCCUCCGCCAAGUGGGUCAACGCUAAAGAGGCGUCAACAUCAAGAUUUACUCCAUGAGAAAUGCAACAAUUUCGAAAACCAAUAAGUUAAAAAAAUCUGGAUGCAUUAAAUUAAAAAAAUCAUCAAACAGACAUGGAGUUUGACAUGUUAUUCAUGGCUCAUGGAUGGUCCGGAUAAGUUCCAUUUUUGGUUGCUAUGGGCCGUUACCGGAGACUCCUGGAUCCCUUUUGUCAAUCCAUUUUCUCAGGAGGAUACUCCGAUGCAGUCGGAAAAAACUAUGUUAAUAGCAUUAUUUGAUUCAGUGGACUUGCCCGAUCCGAAGACGACCAUCGAUCAGCUCACUGCAGAGUUCGAUUUUACUGACUCCAGAUCCGGUGCUUUUGAACCAUAUCGACCAACUAACUCCAGUUUUUUUUUACUUUAUUAUGUAUCCAACUUCCCUGGUUCAAAUGGAUCUGAUGACGAUAUCGAUGAUGACUAUCCGAACAAUCAACCAAAGUGUUUCUGUGUUUUUUCUUUCAUAUUGUCGUUAGUUUUCUGAAUCUUAAGAAUAUAGUAAAAACUUUAAUUGUUAAUUAUCAUCUAAUGUGUUUAGAUAUGCUUCAA